GACGAACGCUGGCGGCGUGCUUAACACAUGCAAGUCGAGCGAUGAAGCUUCGGCGGAAGGGGAUUAGCGGCGGACGGGUGAGUAACACGUUGGCAACCAGCGGUGGAGAGGGGGAUAGCCUUCCGAAAGGUAGAUUAAUAGCGCAUAACAUAGCGAACUCGAAUGGGUUUGCUAUCAAAGAUUUAUCGCUAAAAGAGGGGCCCGCGUCGCAUUAGCUAGUUGGUGAGGUAACGGCUCACCAAGGCCACGAUGCGUAGCCGACCUGAGAGGUUGAUCGGCCACAUUGGAACUAAGACACGGUCCAGACUCCUACGGGAGGCAGCAGUGGAGAAUAUUGCACAAUGGGCGAAAGCCUGAUGCAGCAACGCCGCGUGAGUGAUGAACGUCUUCGGAUUGUAAAGCUCUUUGAUUAGGGACGAUAAUGACGGUACCUAAAGAACAAGCCACGGCUAACUACGUGCCAGCCGCCGCCGUAA
rnacentral:rRNA from 1 species